ACAUGAAUUUACUUCCCUGUUGAAUCGUUGCCGAAAUAUGUCGUAUAUACUUACAUGACGAUGUAAUUCAGGGAAAGACGGGAUGAGGUAGAGCACGGGAUAUACUAUCGAGUUAAAUAGCAGAGCAGACGACACUUACAGAAUGGCGGGAAUUUACAGGAGUAAACUUUUCAGACUGUUCGCCGUGGCAACGUUGAUGACAGUUUUACAGGGGCCAUCUGCACAAGCACAGGAUUGCGACAGUACCAGAACACAGACAUGUUGUUCAACGUACACUCAAUGUCCAGCCGGGUACUACAAGGUACCACAAUGUGACACAUUCUCAACGUCGGUCCCCAGUACAGAAAUACCCGAUGACGACGACAGCUUUAAUUCCACAGACUCAAGUAAUGACACUUCUACAGAUGCCACAACAGAGAUGACCUUCAACACCAGUGACAGCGAAGGAACGUCAACUUCGUCCACUUCGACCCCAACAGUUUACUGCAGGAGGUGCACAGACAGCUGCUACAACUGCAGUGCCGCUGGAUGUUUUACCUGUAUGAAGUCGUUCUCGCUGAAGAAUGGCCAGUGCGUUUCAUCCAACGCUUCCGAACCAUUCCCUGUGGCGGCCGUGGUGGGCGGCGCUGUUGGCGGCGUGGUGCUGAUUGUGGUCGUUGUUGUUGUCAUCGUUUGUGUGUGUCGAAGAAAACCUGCAGACCCUGUACAGAGCGCGCUGGAAAGGAAUGCCGAUGACAUGUCAAAUACACAAGACUCGUCUUCAGACGCAGAAUCGGGGAUGUCGGAAAGAGAAGACAAGAAUCCUGAUUACGAGAACUUGGGGACAAAAUGAAGGACAUGUCCACCAAGAUCCAGCAAGGACAGGACAAGGUGUUGCGGUAUACCAGAGAUCCAACUAUACAAAAUAAGGUGGCUGUGCCAAUAGAGAUGGAAAGCACAUACUCCAACCUAGCUACAAUCAACCUGAACCGGAUGAACCAGGAGGCCAGAGAGAUCCAACAGCUACCAGCAGCUCCAGCGGUUCCUAAAGGUGCCCAGGCGUCAAACAAGCAGAAGAAGAAGAAGAGUCGGAAAGCAAAAGUCGAAGAAGUCGCACAGGACGAGCCAACACCAGAAGCGGAACCCGAGGACAUCUAUGUCAACACAAAAGCGGUUGUUGGCGGAAGCUGGGAACAAGAAGAUGAACAAGUUUAUGAAAAUGAAGCAUCAUCACCUUAUGUGAACUUAGGCUUCCAGAAUUAGAUGUCAGGAUAGUCCGGUGCGUUUACUAUGACAUUUGGUUUGAUGAACAGACACGUACAAGACAAUAACUACCUAGUGUCAGUACGACAUUGGUAACAAGCGGGAGAUUAAAUGUGAUAUUUGAAGGACCAAGGGUCCAAGAAACCAGGGAGGCAACGUUUUACCACAUAGCCUGACGGUGAAUGUAUUUAUGUAUAUUUGAGUCUGUAAUGAAAAAAGUACUAAUAUAUAACCCAGACGUUGAUGUUCCAGAAAAUUUAUGUGACAUAUUGUAGAAAGGGUUCCAACUUUGGGUGAUCACCGAUGGGUGCAAUGCAUCACAAGAACACAAACAUGAAACAACGAACUUCACUACGGUACUAUAUAUAAAUUAUAUUUGUCGUUGUUUAUUAGUCAACAUAAAUGUUCAGCUAUAGUUUGUACUUCUGUAGCUGAUGUUAAGAAUGUGCCAAAGAGUUAUAUGUUGUAGAUAAACCUAUACCUUUUUAUUUAAACGUGGUCAAUACCACAGUUAGGGUACACAUUUUGUCGUCCAAACAUAUCCUAUGUUGAAUCCGUUUUCUCUCAACUGGUUGUAAUCUAAGUUCAAAUUUAAUUCAUAAAUAUGUUUGUCAAAAUGUAAGGAACAUUUAUAAUUCAUUUGUGAUUUGCAUUCUGACAUUAAAACACUUUUCGUACAUUCCGAUGCUGCGUGCAUGUUAGUGACAGUAAAACAGCGAUGCAAUGAGGACAGUUUGGGGAGUGUAUUAGAAGCAAUAUUUCAUAGAGUGCUAAUUUGGAUAAAGGCAUUUCAGUUUCGAGAACAGACAACAUAAGUUUCUAUUGACGAGGCGAAAAUUCUUUGCUCGGCAUUAUCACUGUGGGCGUACAGUAAGGAAAAUAAAUUUUAACAAAUUGUAAAUAUCCUCAGGGUGUCAUUAAAAUCAGACUAAAUAUUAUUGUAACAUUUGCAAGAAAAUGUGUUCCAGUGUAGAUAUUUAAGCAGCUAUUCAAGUGUAUGGUAGGUUUGUAUUUGAACGAUGCUUUCAUCUGUAAGAAAUGUUUGGGGGUUUCCCGAACCAUGGUGAACAAAUUCAUUUUAAUGUUUUAUGAAUGUAUGCAAAUACGGAGAUGAAAUGAGUGCUUUAAUUUGUAUAGUUCUGAGUUGGCCAGGUGAUAUAGGGCCUUAUAUUUUCCUACUUUAUGUGUUUAUACUUUGCAUACAACUUGUACCAGUGAAUGUGCUCCUGUCGCUGAAAUGUUUGGUGCAACAUUGCAUAUCAAUCAUUUGUUUAGUAUUUAUUCGUGCACAUAUCCCGCCCUUAACACAUAUGGUAAAACACACAGAUGUUUUAACAUAAUUCAACUGCAUUGAUGAUCUACGAUUAUAUCUCAGUUAUUUGAUAAUCAUGUUGAACUCGACGGUCAAAAGAUAUCUACUUAUUAAUAAAUAAUCGGAGAAUAUACGAUGUGCUGUAUAUGUAACUUUCUACAUUUUACUUAAUCAGACGCAUUGUUAUCGGUUUGAAAUACGUCGUUCCCACAAGCAUAGUUUUCUGAUGGCAGCGUUUUAAAAACAUGCAGUUAACAUUAAAACAUAUCUCAACGAAUGUCGCCUCAAAUAAAAAUGUUUUACAGUUGAAAUAUAUUAAACCUGACAUUGAAACGUGGUAAAAACAAACGAGUCCACAAAGACUAAAAACUGAACCAACAAUGUAUGAAAUGCAAUGAAGGCUAGUAUCCUACAGCUUUCAAUGAAUCGGGCUUUAGAAGUUUUGAAGAUUUUCAGUGGUAUUGAAAAACCAAUAACGAUGUAUCGAUGCUGAAUAUAAUUCAAGCUGCAUGAGUCGUUAAAAGGGGGCGGUGGGAUAGUCUAGUGGUUAAAGCGUCCGCUCGUCACGCCGAAGACCCGGGUUCGAUUCCCCACAUGGGUACAAUGUGUGAAACCCAUUUCUGGCGUCCCCCGCCGUGAUAUUGCUGGAAUUUUGCUUAUAGCCACGUAAAACCAUACUCACUCACUCAAGCUGCAUGGUAUUAGUUACGAAGAAUGCAACCCUUGGUGAAAAUUACAGCCAGUUUUGUGUUCAUUGUAGAUAUGUAAAUGAAAUCUGUCUAUCUGUCUGUAUUGUUGGGGCCACGUGUCUCUGUCGUUGUAAUUGUCAUUGAUAAUCGGAAUGUCAACCGAUUGUAGACUGAUCGUUUGAAAUACACAUCAUGUUCAUAUGUACUUAUACUCGCUUUAUCAUCCCCUGGUCAUCAUCAUCAUCAUUGUGAGAUAUUGUCAUUACUUCACAAGUCAUAUCAUUUCAUUGUAAAUUUAUUCAACGCAUUUCAUGUAUGUGAUUCUAUGUAUGUAUAUAUGAGUUGACAAGCUCAAUAAACUCAAAGUCAUGUUAUCAUCCACA